UGGGAUUCGAAAUAUAUUUAACACCGUUUCUCGUGAAAGUACCUUACGUGCGAAACAAUUGUCAGCGUCUUCGGUGACGAGAAGGAGAGGGAGCAGCUAAAAAAUGGAUCAUCACGUGGUGAGAAAGAGAUAGAUGUCGGCUGUACCUGUCUCUUUAAAAGAGUGCUACAGGCAUUCGAGAGCGGUCUGCGAGAGAAUCACUUACCAUCACAGGUCGAGGAAGGGGAAAGAAGAGAAAGGAGUUAGUCAUGAGCGUAAAUGAGAGCGAAAGCAGUGACGGAGGAGACAUCCGGCAGAGACUCGGAGCUCGCGCGGAUGCGAGCAAUCACGGAUGACUGAAACUUUCUAUUAAUAAAUUUAAAGAAAUUGUUUAUAUUUAGAGAAAUUGUUGAAUUGUUGCCCGGGAGACGAACAAGGAAAGGGUAAAUUUGUACGCUAGAUUUUUUUUCUUUUUACAGAAAAAAUUGUAUGCCCAUAACAACGAAAAAAUUUUUGCUUAAUGAUUUUUUACCAGUAAAAAAAGUGUUACACUUAACGUAGCGAGAUUUUAGUGCAAAAUUUAAGUCUGAAACACAAGAUUAACGCGGAGGUGGGGGUGUACAUACAUAAAAUUUCUUCUUCUUCUCUUUCUUUUUCUUUAUGGCUAAUUAGACUUCUAUAAAAUUUGCCUAUAGGUCAGUUGAUGUAACAUAUAUGUAAAACGUGAUAUGAACUGAAAUCAGCACGUAAGAAGAUCCGUGUAAGGUCGACACGUAUCCUCAAAUGUCCUCGCCAUCGGACCAAGAAUACUGUCCUUACUAUCAUGGUUAACGUUGGUUUAACGUUGUCGUUGAAUAAUAUAUAUCUAUAUGUAACCGUUACAUAUGUGUCGUGUACUCUCCGCUUAUACACUUCUACUAGCACGAUGUUUUCGGUUGAAUAAUAUAUAAUAGCUUUAUAUAAUAUACAUAUAAUACAUAUUACAUAAAAUCUGGCAAGCUCGAAAUAUAUAUAUAAAUGAUGUAAAUAAGACAUAUUCUUGAAAAAUUAUUGUGUGUGUAUGUGAAAAAGCAUAUGUUUAACAUAUAAUUUCUUUCGUGAUAAUACAAAAUUUGUAUUGUCGUUUUUUCAAGAAAAUACAAAGGAAUCUCAGAAUAUU